rnacentral:rRNA from 1 species
UACGGAGGGUGCGAGCGUUGUCCGGAAUCACUGGGCGUAAAGGGCGCGUAGGCGGCAGGCCAAGCGUGCGGUGAAAGUCCGGGGCUCAACCCCGGAUCUGCCGUGCGGACUGGUUUGCUAGAGCACUGUAGAGGCGAGUGGAAUUCCACGUGUAGCAGUGAAAUGCGUAGAGAUGUGGAGGAAUACCGAUGGCGAAGGCAGCCCCCUGGGAUAACACUGACGCUCAUGCACGAAAGCGUGGGGAGCAAACAGG